rnacentral:rRNA from 1 species
UACGUAGGGUGCGAGCGUUGUCCGGAAUCACUGGGCUUAAAGGGUGCGUAGGCGGCGCGACAAGUUGGGUGUGAAAUCCCUCGGCUCAACCGAGGAACUGCGCCCAAAACUGUCGUGCUCGAGGGAGACAGAGGUGAGCGGAACUUAGGGUGGAGCGGUGAAAUGCGUUGAUAUCCUAAGGAACACCGGUGGCGAAAGCGGCUCACUGGGUCUCUUCUGACGCUGAGGCACGAAAGCUAGGGUAGCGAACGGG